rnacentral:tRNA from 159 species
CGGGGCGUAGCGCAGCCUGGUAGCGCAUCUGCUUUGGGAGCAGAGGGUCGUGAGUUCGAAUCCCACCGCCCCGACCA